CCUACGGGUGGCAGCAGUGAGGAAUAUUGGUCAAUGGGCGUACGCCUGAACCAGCCAAGUCGCGUGAGGGAAGACUGCCCUCUGGGUUGUAAACCUCUUUUAUAUGGGAACAAUGUGCGCUACGUAUACCGUUAUCUAGAGUACCUGAACAUAAAGCAUCGGAUACACCCUUGCCAGCAGCCGCGGUAAUACGGAGGAUCCAAGCGUUAACCGGAUUUAGUGGGUUUAAAGGGAGCGUAGGUGGAUUGUUAAGUUAGUUGUGAAAGUUUGCGGCUCAACAGUAAAAUUGCAGUUGAAACUGGCGGUCUUGAGUACAGUAGAGGUGGGCGGAAUUCGUGGUGUAGCGGUGAAAUGCCUAGAUAUCACGAAGAACUCCGAUUGCGAAGGCAGCUCACUGGACUGCAACUGACACUGAGGCUCGAAAGUGUGGGUAUCAAACAGGAUUAGAUACCCGUGUAGUC
rnacentral:rRNA from 1 species